GAUGAACGCUAGCUACAGGCUUAACACAUGCAAGUCGAGGGGAAACGAUAGAGAAAGCUUGCUUUUUCUAGGCGUCGACCGGCGCACGGGUGAGUAACGCGUAUCCAACCUGCCCACCACUUGGGGAUAACCUUGCGAAAGUAAGACUAAUACCCAAUGACGUCUCUAGAAGACAUCUGAAAGGGAUUAAAGAUUUAUCGGUGAUGGAUGGGGAUGCGUCUGAUUAGCUUGUUGGCGGGGUAACGGCCCACCAAGGCGACGAUCAGUAGGGGUUCUGAGAGGAAGGUCCCCCACAUUGGAACUGAGACACGGUCCAAACUCCUACGGGAGGCAGCAGUGAGGAAUAUUGGUCAAUGGGCGAGAGCCUGAACCAGCCAAGUAGCGUGCAGGAAGACGGCCCUAUGGGUUGUAAACUGCUUUUGCAGGGGAAUAAAGUAUGCCACGUGUGGUGUUUUGCAUGUACCCUGCGAAUAAGGACCGGCUAAUUCCGUG
rnacentral:rRNA from 1 species